GUGUUUUUAACGCUCAGCCGGUAGAGCGCAUGGCUUUUAACCAUGUGGUCGAGGGUUCGAUUCCCACAGACAGCG